rnacentral:rRNA from 1 species
UCCUACGGGAGGCAGCAGUGAGGAAUAUUGGUCAAUGGGCGAGAGCCUGAACCAGCCAAGUCGCGUGAGGGAAGACGGUCCUAUGGAUUGUAAACCUCUUUUGCCGGGGAGCAAAAAGCGGUACGUGUACCGCAUCGAGAGUACCCGAAGAAAAAGCAUCGGCUAACUCCGUGCCAGCAGCCGCGGUAAUACGGAGGAUGCGAGCGUUAUCCGGAUUUAUUGGGUUUAAAGGGUGCGCAGGCGGCGAGUUAAGUCAGCGGUAAAAUUUCGGGGCUCAACCCCGCCAAGCCGUUGAAACUGGCUUG